UAGUCCACGCCGUAAACGAUGUCAACUUGGAGGUUGUGGCCUUGAGCCGUGGCUUUCGGAGCUAACGCGUUAAGUAGACCGCCUGGGGAGUACGGUCGCAAGAUUAAAACUCAAAUGAAUUGACGGGGGCCCGCACAAGCGGUGGAGCAUGUGGUUUAAUUCGAUGAUACGCGAGGAACCUUACCUGGGCUCGAACGCUAGGGGAUUUAUUGUGAAAGCGAUAUUCCCUUCGGGGCCGCUAGUGAGGUGCUGCAUGGUUGUCGUCAGCUCGUGCCGUGAGGUGUUGGGUUAAGUCCCGCAACGAGCGCAACCCUUAUCCUUAGUUGCCAGCACAUAAUGGUGGGGACUCUAAGGAGACUGCCUGCGCAAGCAGAGAGGAAGGAGGGGAUGACGUCAAGUCAUCAUGGCCCUUACGCCCAGGGCUACACACGUGCUACAAUGGCGCAUACAGAGGGUCGCUACCUGGCAACAGGAUGCCAAUCUCAAAAAGUGCGUCUCAGUUCGG
rnacentral:rRNA from 1 species